UACGUAGGGGGCAAGCGUUGUCCGGAAUCAUUGGGCGUAAAGGGCGCGUAGGCGGCUAUAUAAGUCUGAUGUGAAAGUGCGGAGCUUAACUCCGUAAAGCAUUGGAAACUGUAUGGCUUGAGGACAGGAGAGGAAAGUGGAAUUCCUAGUGUAGCGGUGAAAUGCGUAGAUAUUAGGAGGAACACCAGUGGCGAAGGCGACUUUCUGGACUGUAACUGACGCUGAGGCGCGAAAGCGUGGGGAGCGAACAGGAUUAGAUACCCUGGUAGUCCACGCCGUAAACGAUGAAUGCUAGGUGUAGAGGGUAUCGACCCCUUCUGUGCCGCAGUUAACACAAUAAGCAUUCCGCCUGGGGAGUACGGCCGCAAGGUUGAA
rnacentral:rRNA from 1 species